GUAGGUGAACCUGCGGAAGGAUCAUUAUUGAAUCCUUAGGAUGUCGCUGGCCUUUGGUAACAAAGGCAUGUGCACUCCGCCUUUCAAUCCACCUGUGCACUUAUUGUAGGUUGUAAAGGGGAAACUCUUUCGAUCUGCGUAUUUUUACACACUUAAAUGUAUCAGAAUGUAACUUAGUAGACCUUUAAUGGUCGAAAACCUAAAUACAACUUUCAACAACGGAUCUCUUGGUUCUCGCAUCGAUGAAGAA
rnacentral:misc_RNA from 1 species